UGACAUGGUUCAGUGGUAGAGCAUCUGCUUGUCAUGCAGAAGAUCCCAGUUUCAAUUGCCAACAUCUGCAGUUAAAA
rnacentral:tRNA from 1 species